CCUACGGGGGGCAGCAGUAGGGAAUAUUGCUCAAUGGGGGAAACCCUGACGCAGCAACGCCGCGUGGAGGAUGAAGGUUUUCGGAUUGUAAACUCCUUUUGUUAGAGAAGAUAAUGACGGUAUCUAACGAAUAAGCACCGGCUAACUCCGUGCCAGCAGCCGCGGUAAUACGGAGGGUGCAAGCGUUACUCGGAAUCACUGGGCGUAAAGCGCGCGUAGGCGGGAUAGCAAGUCAGAUGUGAAAUCCUAUGGCUUAACCAUAGAACUGCAUUUGAAACUGUUAGUCUAGAGUAUGGGAGAGGUAGGUGGAAUUCUUGGUGUAGGGGUAAAAUCCGUAGAGAUCAAGAGGAAUACUCAUGGCGAAGGCGACCUGCUAGAACAUAACUGACGCUGAUGCGCGAAAGCGUGGGGAGCAAACAGGAUUAGAUACCCGAGUAGUC
rnacentral:rRNA from 1 species